CUAAUACCCAAUGAUAUCUCUAGAAGGCAUCUGAAAGAGAUUAAAGAUUUAUCGGUGAUGGAUGGGGAUGCGUCUGAUUAGCUUGUUGGCGGGGUAACGGCCCACCAAGGCAACGAUCAGUAGGGGUUCUGAGAGGAAGGUCCCCCACAUUGGAACUGAGACACGGUCCAAACUCCUACGGGAGGCAGCAGUGAGGAAUAUUGGUCAAUGGACGAGAGUCUGAACCAGCCAAGUAGCGUGCAGGAAGACGGCCCUAUGGGUUGUAAACUGCUUUUAUAAGGGAAUAAAGUGAGUCUCGUGAGACUUUUUGCAUGUACCUUAUGAAUAAGGACCGGCUAAUUCCGUGCCAGCAGCCGCGGUAAUACGGAAGGUCCGGGCGUUAUCCGGAUUUAUUGGGUUUAAAGGGAGCGUAGGCCGGAGAUUAAGCGUGUUGUGAAAUGUAGAUGCUCAACAUCUGAACUGCAGCGCGAACUGGUUCCCUUGAGUACGCACAAAGUGGGCGGAAUUCGUGGUGUAGCGGUGAAAUGCUUAGAUAUCACGAAGAACUCCGAUUGCGAAGGCAGCUCACUGGAGCGCAACUGACGCUGAAGCUCGAAAGUGCGGGUAUCGAACAGGAUUAGAUACCCUGGUAGUCCGCACGGUAAAC
rnacentral:rRNA from 1 species